UGUCCUACCAGACUUGGAGCUUCAACUUU
rnacentral:piRNA from 1 species